rnacentral:rRNA from 1 species
GAUGAACGCUGGCGGCGUGCCUAAUACAUGCAAGUCGAGCGAACAGACGAGGAGCUUGCUCCUCUGACGUUAGCGGCGGACGGGUGAGUAACACGUGUAUAACCUACCUAUAAGACUGGGAUAACUUCGGGAAACCGGAGCUAAUACCGGAUAAUAUAUUGAACCGCAUGGUUCAAUAGUGAAAGACGGUUUUGCGGUCACUUAUAGAUGGAUCCGCGCCGCAUUAGCUAGUUGGUAAGUUAACGGGUUACCAAGGCAACGAUGCGUAGCCGACCUGAGAGAGGGAUCGCCCACACUGGAAGUGGGACACGGUCCAGACUCCUACGGGAGGCAGCAGUAGGGAAUCUUCCGCAAUGGGCGAAAGCCUGACGGAGCAACGCCGCGUGAGUGAUGACGGCCUUGGGAUCGUAAAACUCUGUUAUUAGGGAAGAACCAAUGUGUAAGUAACUAUGCACGUCUUGACGGUACCUAAUCAGAAAGCCACGGCUAACUACGUG